GUCAGUGUGGCCGAGUGGUCUAAGGCGUGUGACUUGAAUUCAAUCUCAAGAGCUAUCACAUCUCUUCGGAGGCACAGGUUCGAGCCCUGUCGCUGACG
rfam:Fonsecaea multimorphosa CBS 102226 unplaced genomic scaffold supercont1.2, whole genome shotgun sequence.